GUUCGUCUGUUCUGUGGUGAAAGCCCCCAGGCAGACACUCAUUUCUGGCAGGACAUUCCUACGGCCUAAAAACCUCCUCUCAAAAGCCAUGGGCGAAGUCCAGAGCUCUGCUUGGCUGAGAAGUACUCCAUAGUGCAAAUAUAUCGUGCUUUCGUUAUCCAGCCUUCAGCUGAUGGACAUCUGGGUUGAUUCCAUAUCUUAGCUAUUGUGAAUUGAGCUGCAAUGAACAUGCAGACUCUGGGUCGACGUGUGUCUGGAUGAGUGAAGAAGAGUGAAACCGUGAACUUCAGAGCAUGAGAAGUUGGUGAGUGGAACUGCCAGCUCGGCUGGCUCUUGAGGUAGAGGUAAAUAGUAGGCCCUAGUCUGGGCCACCCUGCAGUGGUGACAAAGGUCUCCAUCACCGGGAGGAGUAACCUCAGGUAGAGCACCGUCUGAGCAGAUGAAGAAACCAGUCCUUUCAUAACAGCAAGUGAAAUCACCUGCAUCACAAUUUCCUUGGCUCCUGAGACUAAUGGGAGAUUUCUUUUUAUUAUUAUUAAAGAUUUAUUUAUUUGAAAAUGAGAGUUACAGACAGGGAGAGACAGAGAUCUUCCACCUGCUGGUUCACUCCCCAGUUAACUGCAUUGGCCAAAGCUAAAGCUGGGAUCUAGAAGCUUCUUCCAGGUUUCCCAUGUGUGUGCAGGGUCCCAAGAACUUGGCCAUCUUCUGCUUUUCUAAAACUGUGAGCAGGGAGCUGGACUGGAAGUGGAACAGCUGGGACAUGAAUGGCUGCCCAUAUGGGAUGCCAGCAUUGCAAACAUCAGCUUUACUCGCUACACCAUAAUGGUGGCCUGGAGAGAUUUCUUUCAUUCCUGUUUUAUUUUGACUUUUUGUUUUCUUUCUUUUCAGUUUUUUUCUGGGACAGGUAAUGAAUUUUGUCAAAUGCCUCUAUGGUAAUCAUCAACAUACACAUGGUUUUUCUCCUAUAGUGUUUGAUAGUAUCCUUUCAAAACAUACAAAAUUUUUUGUUGGGUUUUAUAUUAAGGAUAUUCUAACUUUAUCAAGAAGACUUUCAUGUUUUUCUACGGACUAGAAUUGGUGGGCUUCAAAUAACCUUAUGUUAUUUAAUGGUUAGAAAAAAUAAUCUCUAAUACUAUCUGCCUGGUGCAUCUUUACCAUGACCAUUCUUUGGCUUUUGUGAUUUGUUGUUCCAUAAUUAUCUCUUGAGCUAGUUUUGGUCACUUGUGGUUUUUAAUAGCUUUUUUUUUUAAUUGAUCUUGAGACUGGCACUGUGUUUUAGUGGGUUAAGUUGCCGCCUGCAGUGCUAGAAUGCCAUAUGGGUGACAGUUUGAGUCCCAGCUGCUCCACUUCCAAUACAGCUCUCUGCUGUGGCCUGGGAAAGCAGUAGAGGAUGGCCCAAGUGCUUGGGCCCCUGCACCCACAUGGGAGACCCAGAAGAAGCUCCUGGCUCCUGGUUUAGUAUAGACUCAGUUCCAGCCAUUGAGGCCAUUUGGGGAGUGAACCAGCAGAUGGAAGACCUCUCUCUCUCUCACACACACACUCUCUCUCUCUCUCUCUCUUUCUGCCUCUCUGUA